UACGUAGGGGGCUAGCGUUGUCCGGAAUCAUUGGGCGUAAAGCGCGUGUAGGCGGUCCGGUAAGUCCGCUGUGAAAGUCGGGGGCUCAACCCUCGGAUGCCGGUGGAUACUGUCGGGCUUGAGUACGGAAGAGGCGACUGGAAUUCCUGGUGUAGCGGUGAAAUGCGCAGAUAUCAGGAGGAACACCGGUGGCGAAGGCGGGUCUCUGGGCCGAUACUGACGCUGAGGAGCGAAAGCGUGGGGAGCAAACAGG
rnacentral:rRNA from 1 species